rnacentral:rRNA from 1 species
CCUACGGGCGGCUGCAGUGGGGAAUAUUGCACAAUGGGCGCAAGCCUGAUGCAGCCAUGCCGCGUGUGUGAAGAAGGCCUUCGGGUUGUAAAGCACUUUCAGCGGGGAGGAAGGCGGUGAGGUUAAUAACCUCAUCGAUUGACGUUACCCGCAGAAGAAGCACCGGCUAACUCCGUGCCAGCAGCCGCGGUAAUACGGAGGGUGCAAGCGUUAGUCGGAAUUACUGGGCGUAAAGCGCACGCAGGCGGUCUGUCAAGUCGGAUGUGAAAUCCCCGGGCUCAACCUGGGAACUGCAUUCGAAACUGGCAGGCUAGAGUCUUGUAGAGGGGGGUAGAAUUCCAGGUGUAGCGGUGAAAUGCGUAGAGAUCUGGAGGAACACCGGUGGCGAAGGCGGCCCCCUGGACAAAGACUGACGCUCAGGUGCGAAAGCGUGGGGAGCAAACAGGAUUAGAUACCCUAGUAGUC